rnacentral:rRNA from 1 species
CUACGGGCGGCUGCAGUGAGGAAUAUUGCACAAUGGGGGGAACCCUGAUGCAGCAACGCCGCGUGGAGGAUGACGCAUUUCGGUGCGUAAACUCCUUUUAUAUCCCAAGAUAAUGACGGUAGGAUAUGAAUAAGCGCCGGCUAACUCCGUGCCAGCAGCCGCGGUAAUACGGAGGGCGCAAGCGUUACUCGGAAUCACUGGGCGUAAAGAGCGUGUAGGCGGAUAGAUAAGUUGGGAGUGAAAUCCUAUGGCUUAACCAUAGAAUUGCUUCCAAAACUGUCUAUCUAGAAUAUGGGAGAGGUAGAUGGAAUUUCUGGUGUAGGGGUACAUCCGUAGAGAUCAGAAGGAAUACCGAUUGCGAAGGCGAUCUACUGGAACAUUAUUGACGCUGAGACGCGAAAGCGUGGGGAGCAAACAGGAUUAGAUACCCUGGUAGUC